UUGUUUAUGUGUCUAUGAAUCGUCCAAGAAAUUAAUAAGAUGAUGAUACAUAUUCUCAAGAGUUGAGAAUUUAAGCCAUGUAUCAUUGGUGAUUAAUUUCUAAAUGUUCCUGAUCAAUGGAUCAUCAUGAGGACGGUGAUCGAUCCGAUCAGUGCACAGAUUACUUUCCUUCUGGAUGGACGAGACUUGAGUCCACAGUGUAGGGACACUGAAGUGAUAGUGCAGGUGCUUGUUAGAGAACAAGGGUACUG
rnacentral:lncRNA from 1 species